rnacentral:rRNA from 1 species
UACGAAGGGUGCAAGCGUUGUUCGGAUUUAUUGGGCGUAAAGCGCGCGUAGGCGGACCUGUAAGUCAGAUGUGAAAUCUCGGGGCUCAACCCCGAAACUGCGUCUGAAACUACAGGUCUAGAAUCUCGGAGGGGAAAGGGGUAUUUCUCAUGUAGGGGUAAAAUCCGUAGAUAUGAGAAGGAACACCAGAGGCGAAGGCGCCUUUCUGGACGAGUAUUGACGCUGAGGCGCGAAAGCGUGGGGAUCAAACAGG